AAGCAAGCUCGAAGCGCCGGACAACCAUUGUCCUGUCCACGACUCCACCUCCAGCUCCCUGCUCCUCUUCUCAUCGCCGACGAGCAGCCAACGAAGUGCACACGUCCGGGUACUCCGGGCGUAGCAGCUGCUGGCCUGCUGCCCUUCCCCUCCCCUGUUGGACUCAAGGGGGACAGGGUGACCUGGGCUUCCAUCGACGACCAUUCACCCUGCGCCCGGCCUCGGUCCCUCGCCGAAACGAAUCUGCCACCGCCGGCCACUCUGUUAGGCCUCCACCGCCGGGAAAGCGAGCUCCGCAGCUCCUACUCUGAACUCCACCUCGACGACUAGAAGCACGACCCGCGUGGAACUGCAGCAGCUGCUGCAGAUCUUUUCGUCGCCAGCCUCUCCGCUGUCGGGCGACGAGACGACCACUCCCCUACGCGCGGCCUUGCCCACGAUCUCCUCACUGCCCUCCUCCGAAUCACCCGGCGCUGGGAAAGCGAGCUCCGUCUCCCUUCAGGUCCAAGAGAAUAGACAAGAGGCUGUGAACUCGCCGACGAACAAGCAGCUAGCGAAGGAGGAGUCGCUUCAAGAAAUCUUCUUCCACACGCCCGCCUAGAUCCCUAGCGCACCAAGUUUAUCAUGGUUUUAAAAAGUUGGGCUGAUCGGGUAGUGAGCACUUACAUCUGCGGUUCCGUUAAUAUGAAGAAAAAGAAACCUCCGGAUCAAGAGCAGAAUGUAAGUUUUUUAGUGGCAUGCAUAAAACAGAUUACUGCAACUUGAGAUUGACAUUGUUUUCUUGUCUCUAUUUGCACGUUAACAGGUCUGAUAUUUGGAAUGGAUCGCAUAGGAAAUAGACAUCCCUACCAAGGGGAGUCAUCAGGUAGAACACCACAACCUGUUUAACCACAUACUUCUUCUUCCUCUCGGAGUUGAGUCACCAAGGUUUAAGUUGAAGUCACUAAUGCAUUUUUUAAAUUCCAAGUCUCCAAUUUGAGUGCAAUGUCUGAACAUAAUACUUCUUAGAAAUUUACAAAAAGUCCACGUCCUGAAAAGACUUACUCCUGCAUGAUGAAUAUAGUGACAUUGUUUUCAGAGUGCUUGAUGACUACUAGCUUUAUUUUAUCAUAAUUAUUUUUCCCAAUCGAUAACAUAACUAUUUUCUUCCGAUCACUGAUUGCGUCAACUUUUUGACAUGACAUAUCGGCCCGACUGUACUUACCCUCUAGCCCCGACUUUUUUUGACGUUGCUUUUUUUCAAUUAUUCGACAAUGGUUCUUCCACACACUUUUUUGACCGUAAUUUUUCCACGGUAGUUAUCCUACGGUAGUUCGUCAACAGUAACAUAGUAAUUCACCAACAUUAUUCUCCCUAUUCGUUGGCUAUAAAUUUUCGAGAUAACUAAUUUCCUAACAUUAGUUACCCCACAUUGUUAUUGGUACACAUGGAUAAAUAAUUUAGUCUGAAUGUAAUAUUGCUAAAAUAUAUAUAAACUAUAUUUAGCAUUACACAGACCAGGACUAGCAAAUAAUCUAUUUUAGCCUAAAUUUUUUCCAAAUACGCUCAAUCAAAUCAUUUUUAGAGCUCUAUGUGUCGGGCGAUCACGGAUUCUAGCAACUCUUUGAAGUAUGUUGGCAAAUGCUGGCCUGUCAUUGUGAGUAAAUA